CCUACGGGAGGCAGCAGUGGGGGAUAUUGCACAAUGGGGGGAACCCUGAUGCAGCGACGCCGCGUGGGUGAAGGAGUGCUUCGGCAUGUAAAGCCCUAUCGGCAGGGAAGAAGCAAGACGGUACCUGACUAAGAAGCCCCGGCUAACUACGUGCCAGCAGCCGCGGUAAUACGUAGGGGGCGAGCGUUAUCCGGAUUCACUGGGUGUAAAGGGAGCGUAGACGGGCCAGCAAGUCUGAUGUGAAAACCCGGGGCCCAACCCCGGGAGUGCAUUGGAAACUGCGGGCCUGGAGUGCCGGAGAGGUAAGCGGAAUUCCUAGUGUAGCGGUGAAAUGCGUAGAUAUUAGGAGGAACACCAGUGGCGAAGGCGGCUUACUGGACGGUAACUGACGUUGAGGCUCGAAAGCGUGGGGAGCAAACAGGAUUAGAUACCCUUGUAGUC
rnacentral:rRNA from 1 species